GAUGAAGAACGUAGCGAAAUGCGAUAAGUAAUGUGAAUUGCAGAAUUCAGUAAAUCAUCGAAUCUUUGAACGCACAUUGCGCCCCCCAGUAUUCUGGCGGGCAUGCCUGUUCGAGCGUCAUUUCAACCAUCAAGCCCUGCUUGUGUUGGGGUCCUGCGGCUGCCCGCAGGCCCUGAAAACCAGUGGCGGGCUCGCUAGUCACACCGAGCGCAGUAGCACAUCUCGCUCAGGGCGUGCGGCGGGCUCCAGCCGUUAAAGCACCCACCUUUCGCAAGGUUGACCUCGGAUCAGGUAGGAAUACCCGCUGAACUUAAGCAUAUCAAUAAGCGGAGGA
rnacentral:misc_RNA from 1 species